rnacentral:rRNA from 1 species
AUGUCUAUCGAGCCAAUGGGACAACAAAGGAAAAGAAGAACCGGAAGAAGGUUAUCUAUCUUCACGAGCAAGUUGGUGUCUGUAAACCUUCACCGGAGCCAUUCCAGCUCUUUCAGAGCCACAAGGGGAACCAAGACCCCAACGGUGCGGAGCAGUUUCCCAUCGAGAGGACUAGGGCUGCCAUCAGGGACCUGUAGACCAAGCUCAACAUCUCCCUCGUGCCUCCAUCAACACCGUGUCCUGGAGGGUCGUUGCCGUCCGCGACGACGAGCUACUGCCGCAGCUUUGCCAGCCGCACGGUUAGAGGGAGGCAUCAAGGUCCUGCCACCGCUCCCGGGGCUGAUGUGCGUGUAA